AGCACUGCCUCUACUAGUGAAUUACAUCUUCCUGCGGAGGAAGAGGAAGAGGAAGAGGAGGUGGAGGAUGUGUUCUGGUGGCAACAGUCGAUAGAGGAUUUGGAUAUGAAGGAGCUUGUACAGUACAAGGCAAGCUUGGAAGGGUUGAGGAGUAAUUUGAUUAUGAGAAUUGAGGAGAUGAAGAUGCGGAGAGCUGCGACCAGAAAU
rnacentral:misc_RNA from 1 species